rnacentral:rRNA from 1 species
AACUGAAGAGUUUGAUCAUGGCUCAGAUUGAACGCUGGCGGCAGGCUUAACACAUGCAAGUCGAGCGGGGGAAGGUAGCUUGCUACUGGACCUAGCGGCGGACGGGUGAGUAAUGCUUAGGAAUCUGCCUAUUAGUGGGGGACAACAUCUCGAAAGGGAUGCUAAUACCGCAUACGUCCUACGGGAGAAAGCAGGGGAUCUUCGGACCUUGCGCUAAUAGAUGAGCCUAA